GACGAACGCUGGCGGCGUGCUUAACACAUGCAAGUCGAACGGAAAGGCCCGGCUUUUGUGUGGUUCUCGUGUGGCGAACGGGUGAGUAACACGUGUGUAACCUGCCCUUGACUUUGGGAUAACUUCAGGAAAAUGGGGCUAAUACCGGAUAGGAGCUCCUGCUGCAUGGGGGUGGAUGGAGAGUUUCGGCGGUUGUGGAUGGACUCGCGGCUUAUCAGCUUGUUGGGGGGGUUGUGGCUUACCAAGGUUUUGACGGGUAGCCGGCCUGAGAGGGUGACCGGCCACACUGGGACUGAGAUACGGCCCAGACUCCUACGGGAGGCAGCAGUGGGGAAGACUGCACAAUGGGCGGCAGCCUAAUGAAGCAACGCCGCGUGCGGGAUGACGGCCUUCGGGUUGUAAACCGUUUUCGCAUGUGACGAAGCGUGAGUGACGGUAAUGGGUAAAGAAGCACCGGCUAACUACGUG
rnacentral:rRNA from 1 species